UACGGAGGGUGCAAGCGUUAUCCGGAUUCACUGGGUUUAAAGGGUGCGUAGGCGGGCAGGUAAGUCAGUGGUGAAAUCUCCGGGCUUAACCCGGAAACUGCCGUUGAUACUAUCUGUCUUGAAUAUCGUGGAGGUAAGCGGAAUAUGUCAUGUAGCGGUGAAAUGCUUAGAUAUGACAUAGAACACCGAUAGCGAAGGCAGCUUGCUACACAGUCAUUGACACUGAGGCACGAAAGCGUGGGGAGCAAACAGG
rnacentral:rRNA from 1 species